GUUUGGUUCGGGGUUAAGAAAAAAGUAGCUAUUCCAGGGAUAGGGUUAAGUUUAGGGUUAAAGUGGGGUUAAAGUUUUUUUGUGUUUGGUUGGGGGUUGGAGUUAAUCUAGAAUAAUGAAAAAUAGUGUUUGGUUGGAGUAGGUGGGAUAAGAAGAUAAUGAUUGAUAAAGAAGGAUAAUGAUUGGUUGGAGUAGGUGGGGUUGGAGUAGGUGGGAUAAGAAGAUAAUGAUUGAUAAAGAAGGAUAAUGAUUGGUUUGAGUUGAUGGGAUAAGAAGAUAAUGAUUGAUAAAAAAGGAUAAUGAUUGGUUGGAGUAGGUGGGAUAAGAAGAUAAUAAUUGAUAAAGAAGGAUAAUNUAUAUAUAUAUAUAUAUAUAGUCCGGCUACUAUACUCUUAUGAGUACGAUCGCCCUCGUACUCAUAAGUUGUUUUCGAUGAUAAAGCUUCCGAAUCACCGAUCCAUACCGUUAAACAAUAUCUAGAUCAUUUAAAACUUCUAGGAAUUAAAUUUUAUAAUUUUUCGAUAUCAUUUACCUUACGAUCAAAAUGUCACAAAAUCGACAAUUUUUAACGACCGGUACGAGAUAUUUGCUAGUUUAACGGUGAAAAAGAAUCGAAAUAGGUUGAAUUUUUGAUAAAAAAUUCUAUUCACUACCUAAAUAAAGAUCAAUAACACCGAUCUUAAAUUUAAGGAUCUGAUCAUCCAUUUUUAGGAUGUCAUUCGAUUUUAACCGUCCAUUUUAUACUCGCUUGAUGGAUUUUAUAAUGAUUUCGAAAAUUUAUAAAAUUUAUUUCUAUAAAUUUCAAAUACUCUAGAUCAUAUUUAACGGUGUGGAUCAUCGAUUUGAAAACUCCACCAUCGAAAACAACUUAUGAGUAGUAAGGGUUCUAUACUCAUAAGAGUAUAGUAGCCCUACUCUAUAUAUAUAUAAAUUUAUAUAUAGUCCGGCUACUAUACUCUUAUGAGUACGAUCGCCUUCGUACUUAUAAGUUGUUUUCGAUGAUAAAGCUUUUGAAUCGACGAUCCAUACCGUUAAACAUUGUUUAUAGCAUUUAAAAAUCUUAGAAAUCAAAUUUUAUAAUUUUUUGAUACAAUUUACCUUACAAUCAAAAGCUCACAAAAUUGACAAUUUUUAACGGCCGGUAUAAGAUAUUUGCUAGUGUAACGGUGUAAAAGAAUAUGAAUCGGUUGAAUUUUUGAUAGAAAAUUCUAUUCACUAUCUAAAUAAAUAUCAAUAACUCCGAUCUUAAAUUGAAGAAUCCGAUCAUCCAUUUUUAGGAUGUCGUUUAAUUUUGACCAUUCAUUUUAUACCUGCUUGAUGGAUUUUAUAAUAAUUUUGAAAAAUUACGAAAUUUAUUUUCUAAAAGUUUCAAAUACUCUAGAUCAUAUUUAACGGUGUGGAUCGUCGAUUCGAAAGCCCCAACAUCGAAAACAACUUGUGAGUACGAAGAACUUUAUAUUCNGGUUGGAGUAGGUGGGAUAAGAAGAUAAUGAUUGAUAAAGAAGGAUAAUGAUUGGUUUGAGUUGAUGGGAUAAGAAGAUAAUGAUUGAUAAAAAAGGAUAAUGAUUGGUUGGAGUAGGUGGGAUAAGAAGAUAAUAAUUGAUAAAGAAGGAUAAUGAGGAUUAAAAUAAUUAUGAGGAUUAAAAUUAUAUAAUUUUUUGCGUAAUUGUAUACCAAAAUUUUUUUUUCACUACUCUUUUGUAAUUUUGAAAUAUUCCUCAAAUUUUCAAACAACAAUAUUAAACUUGUCAUAUUUAUAAAUUUCACUCUCAAUAGUAUUUCCUGAACUACAAUUAAUAUUUUAAUUAUAAUAUCAUUUUAACCCUCCAAAAAUACUAAUUGCGAACCUUUCAAAUUUAGCCCUUAGUGGAGUUGAGUAUCAUUAGACGCUUUCAAAUCCGAUUUGUUUCGAUCUUUCAAACUUUGCAUUGCUAUUCGAAUAUCAUUAAUAAUUCUGAAAUAUUUACAUACAUCAAAUCAAUCUGCACAUCAACGAACAUUUACACAGAUAACAACACAAAACAAUAAAAAAUAAAAACAUGUACAACCAAAACAUUUUGAAAUAGUACAAAUAUAUAACAGAAUAACAAAAUAAAAAUAUCUACCAACAUAUCUAUCUACCAAUAUUCAAAUAACAAAGCAUAUGCAUCUCAUACAUCAUCAUCUUACAAUUGUCAAAUAACAAUAUAACCACUACACUCAAUUCUACCAAAUAUCAAUACAAUUAUCUAAUUUAUAUAAAAUUAUAUUCUAGUGUUCCACAAUUGAUUUGUAAUAUUAGCACGUAGAUCCUCACCAUUUUGGGAGUCCUCAAUUACUCCCACUAAAUCGUCCACUCCACCUUCAUUUUCAGCGUCCUGUUCAUCUGGACCCUCAUUAGGAACAAUGUUAUCAUUUGCUUGGUGACGGCGAAUAAAGUUAUGUAUUAUACAACAUGCCAUAGCAAUCAAGCAUUGAACUUN
rnacentral:lncRNA from 1 species